rnacentral:piRNA from 1 species
UCUAGCAUCACAAGUAUUAGAGGC